CCUCGGACGACUUGGCGCUCCGGGACAGCAGCAGACGCCCAAGCUCCGGCAGCGCAGAGCCCCGCCGGGGGCCCGGGGGGCUGGGAGCCGGGGAUCGCGGGGACGGAAGUGGGGGACCGAGUCUCGCGAGCCCGGGCCCUCCUCGCAGCUGGGGCCCCACUGGCGCCCCCGCGGGAGCGCUACGGGAGAGGCGCCUAUGCGGCUGCAGGUUUUAUUAUGGAGCUGUCAAGGUAGAAAGGUACGGAGAACGGGAACCCACCGACAGCCAACUUCCCUUGGGACCCGCCUUUUGCUUUAAAAACAACAACGACAAGUCUGUGCUUCACCCCACACAUGCCUUUCGUUUUCCCUUUUUUCCCAGAGUAAUUUUAAAGCAUCCCAGUGGAUAAAUUCUCCUUUAAAUACUCGAGUAUGUUUAAUCAGUAAGGCCUAUUUUUUUAAACAUUCUCAUAGUAUUACGGUCACACCUAACGAAAUUGGCAAUUCCCAGUCCGGGCCUGAGGGAGGCCUGAUGGUUCACAAGACUUGGUAAAAUAUAUCAUUAUAUUUUAAACCAAAAAAUAAAUGAUAAGGCACCUCCCCGUUCCCAACCACCAAAUCAUCCGAAUGGACUUCUUCCUCAGCCAGGACUUUUAGAAUUUAACCUGAAAAACUGGUUCAGGCCAUAAGGGGAAGUGGAGGCCGAACAUGCCUCAUUAUCCCUCUCCUGCAUUAACAUCAACACAGACUUUAAGUCUGAUAAGAAACAUUUUACAGCCUCUUCUCUCUGAAGCCUGCUACCCUAUCCGAAUACUUCAUCUGCGUGAUAAAACACAUUGGUCUCCACAACCUCUUAACCCAGACAUUCCUUUCUUUAAUCCCAGGUCUUUGGACAAACUCAACCAAUUGUCAACCAGAAAAUGUUUAAGUUGACCUAUACCCUAGAACCACCCUCCCCCUCUUUGAGUUUUCCUGCCUUUCUGGAUCAAACAAAUUUAUUUCUUAAAUGAACUUAACUUGAAGUCUCAUGCCUCCUCAGAAUGUAUUAAACCAAGCUGCACCCCGACCUCCUUGGGCACAUGUUCUCAAGACCUCCUGAAGGCUGUGUCACUGGCUGUGGUCACUCAUAUUUGGCUCACAAUAAAUCUCUUCAAAUAUUUUACAGAGUUUGACUCUUCCACAAUAAUUUGGCACCCAGCGUGGGGCCUCAGAGAAGACUCAGGACCCCAAAGGAGUUGCCUGAACUCGGAGCGAAGAUACCAGUGGGGCCCAUUGAAGCCUCCCAGACUUCUAGCUUCUCCCCCGAUGGAACUGGUUAAGUUCUCCUGAGCCCCAGAUCGCCCUUUGGUUGACAGUCCUUCGUUUAGUGUGAGCUGGUUUUUCUCCUAGGAAGUUGUUGUUUAAGGAUUCUAAUUCUAGUUCAGAGACACAUUCUAAAGGGUUUUCUUUAUUGCUUUUUCUCCCAAAAUUAAUCUUGAUUCGGCUUGUCUGCGCAUUUGUGUGAGGAAUUGAACUGUUGUUUUCAUAGGUAAAUGAGAGACUGAGUUUUCUCAACUCCAAAGAGAAAGGCAUUUGCUCCUCCCAGCCAAAACGUGCUCCUGGGUGACUGGGGGCCUUGUGGGAGUGUCUGGGGGGGGGUUGACAUCCUGUGACAUGCAGCAGCCCUAUGGGGAAAUCCCCAACAAAAAUUAAUUUUAAAAAUGGCUUGUCCAGGAAUGCAUAUAAGGACUGAUCACCCAUCAUUUUGAGCCCUCUCAAAGGUAAUAGACCUCUGGAGAGAGAAACUGAGACAUGUAACAGGGUGGAAACAACUCAGUGGUGACACAUGGUGGGGUCCUGCCCACAAGCAGCACACAUUGAUCCACCACACAAAAACCCUAGGCCACAGCUCAGUUCCUACUUCUAAGAAAAAAAAAGGUGGGAAACAAAUGAUCUAAGAAUGAGGAGAAAACAAGGAGAAUGACCUCAUUUCGGGCACUCUGUUGGUUUUAUGGUGCGUCUACUUGCCAGAGCUUAUGUAAAAUGGAAAUAUAAUGAUCCUUGUGCACAUUUACAUUAAGGAAAAGAGCCCUAAGGUCAACCUGUACACUAUAGAGUUCCUAAGUUCUCUUCUUCUCUAUAUUUUCUGCCUGCUUUAAAUCUGCUUUUACUUUUGUACUGAAAUUAAAAACCACUGUUUGGAUCUAACCUAUUUUUCUUUUUCUUUGUUUUCUUGUUUUUUUUUUUUUUUUUUUUUUUUUUUUUGCAAGCUGGGGAAUUUGUAUUUAUCUCAUGGCUAAAGUUCUGAAGUAAAAGCUAUAGGAUCUGUGUGUGUGUGUGUGUGUGUGUGUGUGUGUGUGUGUGUGUAUUUAAAAGGAUUUUAUAAUAGACUUCUAUAAUUUUGUUUAAAUGGCAAAUUAAAUCCAUUUUAAUUUCCCUCUAGCAAACCAGACUGUCUCUUGGUACUUUGAGAUGUAAAUUUUGCUAUCUGAUUUUUCACCUAAGAGUUGUUUCCUUUAAUAUGCAAAUGUAGGACUAUUUAGCUGACAACUGCCCAGGGUGAUGAAACAGGCUAUCAUGAAUUUAAAAGUCUAAGGGAAAAAGAGGUCUUACAAAUACAUAAGAUGUACUUCUAUUGCCAUGCCUAAUACGCUAUGCAUUUAUGUGUUGUGUACACAAUGUGUCACUACUAAAAAUAUGUAAAAGAGCUCUAAUUAGCUUAAGUAAAAAUAAAAGCACUUAAAUACUUGAUCAAAAAAUACUAAUCAAUGCUUUUCAAGUUCACGUGACAAGUAAAAUAUUUAAUAAAUAAACUGUCUUUAAAAUCAUUGGUAAAAAAAAUUAAAAUGUUCUAAGAAUUGUUAGUAUUUUUGUUUGCAUUUAUUGAUCAAGUAGCUUCAUGCUUAUUCCUUCAGAAUACUAUAAGAUUAGCCAUAGGGUUAUAAAACUAUAAAACCCAGCCCAAGACAGAAUGAUCUUUGCUUGUAUAAUUUUUGAUAAAUAAGACAUGGAAUAUGGUUGGUUUAAUGAAAACAGCUAAAUCAUGAGUUACUGGAAAAAAUACUCUUAUAUUUAAUCAUAAGUUCAUUAUUGAAGUAAACACCUGAAAUUCACAGCUAUAAAAAUGGUUAACAGGGAAAUAACUUCAAUAAUGACUGUCACAGUUUUUGUUAAUAAUCCAGGUAAACAAAUAAAUUAAUCAGGUAAAGGUAAUGGAAUAAGUGUUUGUAAACAAACGUCAUAUAAUUUAGGACCUCAGGUUAUUAAUAAGUAUUAAGUAUCUGGGUAAUUUCCAAUUUAAAAAUUAUAGAAAAACUUUUUUUUAAAUGGUAAAUAUCUUUUUCUAAUUCAAAGCUUAUUUAAAGGUUAUGUAUAAAACAAGGUAAAAGGAACUAGGAAAUAAGAGAUGUAGAGAAACAUAAGACAUAAAGAGGUAAUUUUUGGUAAAGAAGGUAAAAAGGAAAGUGAUACUAUAUAAGAAAGAAUCUUGUGUAGCGAAUUUUUGUCCUAAAAUAAAAUGACUAGGUUGUUCAAGAAAGAUAUUUAGGACAGAACAGAAAAUUUAAGCAUGUUGUGAAUGGUCUAUGUAAGUUGUAAUAAGGUUAGUAAAAGGAAUUUGUUUAAAAAAAAAAAGAUUGUAUAAUGCAGUUGGCUAUGAUUAAGAAGAAAUUAUAGUAGUCUUUCUAGAGAUGGGUCUUUGAUAUUUAAAAAA
rnacentral:lncRNA from 1 species